UACGUAGGGUGCGAGCGUUAAUCGGAAUUACUGGGCGUAAAGCGUGCGCAGGCGGUUUUGUAAGUCUGUUGUGAAAUCCCCGGGCUCAACCUGGGAAUGGCAAUGGAGACUGCAAGGCUAGAGUUUGGCAGAGGGGGGGUAGAAUUCCACGUGUAGCAGUGAAAUGCGUAGAUAUGUGGAGGAACACCGAUGGCGAAGGCAGUGUCCUGGGGAGUACCUGACGCUCAGGUGCGAAAGCCAGGGGAGCGAACGGG
rnacentral:rRNA from 1 species